rnacentral:tRNA from 1 species
GGGAAAAAAGCAUAUAUGCGAUUAACUUGAAAUUAAUAGAUGGUAGUAUAAAGUGCUGCCUUUUCUCG